CAGUCGCCGCGGGAAUACAGAGGGUGCGAGCGUUAAUCGGAUUUACUGGGCGUAAAGCGUGCGUAGGCGGCUAAUUGAGUCGGAUGUGAAAUCCCCGAGCUUAACUUGGGAAUUGCAUUCGAUACUGGUUAGCUAGAGUGUGGGAGAGGAUGGUAGAAUUCCAGGUGUAGCGGUGAAAUGCGUAGAGAUCUGGAGGAAUACCGAUGGCGAAGGCAGCCAUCUGGCCUAACACUGACGCUGAGGUACGAAAGCAUGGGGAGCAAACAGGAUUAGAGACCCCGGUAGUCCCUGUCUCUUAUAA
rnacentral:rRNA from 1 species